rnacentral:rRNA from 1 species
GACGAACGCUGGCGGCGCGCCUAACACAUGCAAGUCGAACGGAGCUGAGAGAAGCUUGCUUUUCUUAGCUUAGUGGCGAACGGGUGAGUAACGCGUGAGUAACCUGCCCUGGAGUGGGGGACAACAGUUGGAAACGACUGCUAAUACCGCAUAAGCCCACGAUCCGGCAUCGGAUUGAGGGAAAAGGAUUUAUUCGCUUCAGGAUGGACUCGCGUCCAAUUAGCUAGUUGGUGAGGUAACGGCCCACCAAGGCGACGAUUGGUAGCCGGACUGAGAGGUUGAACGGCCACAUUGGGACUGAGACACGGCCCAGACUCCUACGGGAAGCAGCAGUGGGGGAUAUUGCACAAUGGGGGAAACCCUGAUGCAGCGACGCCGCGUGGAGGAAGAAGGUUUUCGGAUUGUAAACUCCUGUCGUUAGGGACGAUAAUGACGGUAUCUAACAAGAAAGCACCGGCUAACUACGUG